ACGAACGCUGGCGGCGUGCUUAACACAUGCAAGUCGAACGGAAAGGCCCUGCUUUUGUGGGGUGCUCGAGUGGCGAACGGGUGAGUAAUACGUGAGUAACCUGCCCUUGACUUUGGGAUAACUUCAGGAAACUGGGGCUAAUACCGGAUAGGAGCUCCUGCUGCAUGGUGGGGGUUGGAAAGUUUCGGCGGUUGGGGAUGGACUCGCGGCUUAUCAGCUUGUUGGUGGGGUAGUGGCUUACCAAGGCUUUGACGGGUAGCCGGCCUGAGAGGGUGACCGGCCACAUUGGGACUGAGAUACGGCCCAGACUCCUACGGGAGGCAGCAGUGGGGAAUAUUGCACAAUGGGCGGAAGCCUGAUGCAGCAACGCCGCGUGCGGGAUGACGGCCUUCGGGUUGUAAACCGCUAUCGCCUGUGACGAAGCGUGAGUGACGGUAAUGGGUAAAGAAGCACCGGCUAACUACGUG
rnacentral:rRNA from 1 species